rnacentral:rRNA from 1 species
UACGUAGGGGGCGAGCGUUGUCCGAAGUUACUGGGCGUAAAGCGCGCGUAGGCGGGUUGGCAAGUCUGCUGUGAAAGCCCGGAGCUUAACUCCGGAGGGUCGGUGGAUACUGCCAAUCUUGAAGGGACUAGGGGGAGAUGGAAUUACCGGUGUAGCGGUGAAAUGCGUAGAGAUCGGUAGGAACACCAGUGGCGAAGGCGGCUUACUGGUCCGGUUCUGACGCUGAGGCGCGAAAGCGUGGGGAGCAAACAGG